GACGAACGCUGGCGGCGUGCUUAACACAUGCAAGUCGAACGGAAAGGCCCUGCUUGCAGGGUACUCGAGUGGCGAACGGGUGAGUAACACGUGGGUGAUCUGCCCUGCACUUCGGGAUAAGCUUGGGAAACUGGGUCUAAUACCGGAUAGGGCCGCACUUUAGGGUGUGUGGUGGAAAGUUUUUUCGGUGUAGGAUGAGCUCGCGGCCUAUCAGCGUGUUUGUGGGGUAAUGGCCUACCAAGGGGGCGACGGGUAGCCGGCCUGAGAGGGUGUACGGCCACAUUGUGACUGAGAUACGGCCCAGACUCCUACGGGAGGCAGCAGUGGGGAAUAUUGCACAAUGUGCGCAAGCCUGAUGCAGCGACGCCGCGUGGGGGAUGAAGGCCUUCGGGUUGUAAACUCCUUUCGCUAGGGACGAAGCUUUGUUGUGACGGUACCUAGAUAAGAAGCACCGGCUAACUACGUG
rnacentral:rRNA from 1 species